rnacentral:lncRNA from 1 species
GUGCCGAUAUUUUGUUGGCACGGUACGGUACGGUGGAUACGGCCUGUGCCGAUGGGCACUUAAAACCUUGUAUGAGAUAAUAUUAACGAAUUGAAAAUACAUAUAAUAGUUUUAUUGGACUUAAAACUUUUAGACUUGGUUGUUUUGGCAAAAAUGGUUGGUAAUGGUGGAAGGCGUAGGUUGAAAGGAAUAAUGGGUUAUCAGGAGAUGAGGGAUAGUAAGAUGUAAGAAGUGCGCCGAUUACACGAUUACGGGGGAUUUACGAUCGACGAGGAUGGCGGUACAUCAUGGAUAGAACUUCGUGAACGGGGA